rnacentral:rRNA from 1 species
UCGGAUUGUAAACUCCUGUGGUUGAGGAAGAUAAUGACGGUACUCAACAAGGAAGUAACGGCUAACUACGUGCCAGCAGCCGCGGUAAAACGUAGAGUCACAAGCGUUGUCCGGAAUUAUUGGGUGUAAAGGGAGCGCAGGCGGGAAGACAAGUUGGAAGUGAAAUCCAUGGGCUCAACCCAUGAACUGCUUUCAAAACUGUUUUUCUUGAGUAGUGCAGAGGUAGGCGGAAUUCCCGGUGUAGCGGUGGAAUGCGUAGAUAUCGGGAGGAACACCAGUGGCGAAGGCGGCCUACUGGGCACCAACUGACGCUGAGGCUCGAAAGUGUGGGUAGCAAACAGGAUUAGAUACCCUGGUAGUCCACACUGUAAACGAUGAUUACUAGGUGUUGGAGGAUUGACCCCUUCAGUGCCGCAGUUAACACAAUAAGUAAUCCACCUGGGGAGUACGACCGCAAGGUUGAAACUCAAAGGAAUUGACGGGGGCCCGCACAAGCAGUGGAGUAUGUGGUUUAAUUCGACGCAACGCGAAGAACCUUACCAAGUCUUGACAUCCUGCGACGGACAUAGAAAUAUGUUUUUCCUUCGGGACGCAGAGACAGGUGGUGCAUGGUUGUCGUCAGCUCGUGUCGUGAGAUGUUGGGUUAAGUCCCGCAACGAGCGCAACCCUUAUGGUCAGUUACUACGCAAGAGGACUCUGGCCAGACUGCCGUUGACAAAACGGAGGAAGGUGGGGAUGACGUCAAAUCAUCAUGCCCUUUAUGACUUGGGCUACACACGUACUACAAUGGCGUUAAACAAAGAGAAGCAAGACCGCGAGGUGGAGCAAAACUCAGAAACAACGUCCCAGUUCGGACUGCAGGCUGCAACUCGCCUGCACGAAGUCGGAAUUGCUAGUAAUCGCAGAUCAGCAUGCUGCGGUGAAUACGUUCCCGGGCCUUGUACACACCGCCCGUCAA